rnacentral:lncRNA from 1 species
CCACAGUGACUGAGUGUCUCUCACAUGGUGCUCCUGAGCUGAGACCAGGAAAUAACAGAAGUGAAAAUGGUGGAUACAGGUCUCCACAUCUGAAAGUUGGCAGCCAAGUUAGGGAGACAGUCAAUCUCCUAACACUCAGCUACAGGGCUGAUACAGCUGAAAAUGAGACUCACAAUUUGAUCACACGGGUGCACAGUGACAACGUCGAUUGAAUUUGCAGCUCUGACAGAUGUGUUUUAUAAAGGCCGGGGCACUGAUCAGAGAGGAGGAGGAUGCCAGGGCAUGUUAUUGAACUUGGAUGAGUCUGAAAAACAGCUGCUUCUUGCUGUCUGGAGUGAUGAGUCUCUCCUUUCCUGAGAAGCCCGUGAGGAGUUCACAGGAGCAACUUCCCCAGGAGAACAUCGAGUCUCGUCUGCUGAGCUGCCAGCAGAAGCCUCUUCCUGUGCCCCAGGAUACUUGUCUCAGAGGAGAUCAUUAUGGUACCAUGGGAAUUUUCCUAUGACCCAUUGAUAGAGCAAGAAAAGACACAACCCCAGUUUGCAGAUGCUUUUAUUUAGUACAGCAAGGCUUCCAG